rnacentral:rRNA from 1 species
CCUACGGGUGGCAGCAGUGAGGAAUAUUGGUCAAUGGGCGGGAGCCUGAACCAGCCAAGCCGCGUGAGGGAAGAAGGUACAGCGUAUCGUAACCCUCUUUUGUCAGGGAACAAAGGCGGGGACUAGUCCCAGAAGGAGGGUACCUGAAGAAAAAGCACAGUUUAACUCCGUGCCGGGAGCCGCGGUAAUACGGAGGAUGAGAGCGUUACCAGGAUUUAUGGGGUUAAAGGGGUGCGCAGGGGGACUGUAAGGUCAGGGGGAAAGGCCCGGGGCUAAACCGCGGAGAGCCGUUGAAACUGGCGGGCUGGAGUGCGGGAGAGGUACGCGGAAUGCGCGGUGUAGCGGUGAAAUGCUUAGAUAUCACGCAGAACCCCGAUUGCGAAGGCAGCUUACGGGCUCCACACUGACGCUGAGGCACGAAAGCGUGGGUAUCGAACAGGAUUAGAUACCCCAGUAGUC